rnacentral:rRNA from 1 species
CAGUAGCCGCGGUAAUACGUAGGUGGCAAGCGUUGUCCGGAAUUAUUGGGCGUAAAGGGCUCGCAGGCGGUUUCUUAAGUCUGAUGUGAAAGCCCCCGACUCAACCGGGGAGGGUCAUUGGAAACUGGGAAACUUGAGUGCAGAAGAGGAGAGUGGAAUUCCACGUGUAGCGGUGAAAUGCGUAGAGAUGUGGAGGAACACCAGUGGCGAGGGCGACUCUCUGGUCUGUAACUGACGCUGAGGAGCGAAAGUGUGGGGAGCGAACAGGAUUAGAUACCCCUGUAGUCCCUGUCUCUUAUAA